UUCAUCCCUACACUCUCACUCUCAGCCCCAAUCACUUGAUGAAGCUAUUGAUUCCUUCACUCGCAUGCUCUUUAUGUGUCGCCCUCCAUCCAUCCUUCAAUUCCUCAAGAUUUUGGGAUCUCUUGCCAAGACCAACCAUUGCCCCACCGCCAUUUCCCUUUUUCAGCAAUUACAAUCCAGGCUUCUGCAAAUUCGAAUCUUUUUCUGUCAUUCAAAGCCAAACUGAGCAAAGUUUCAUGUAAGUGCAAUAUUAAAUUUUGAUCAAAAUUUACUACCUGGAUACUAUUAUUAGUACUUGACUAUAUGAA